UCUUCAGUAACAGGUACUAUUGAAGAAAUUGAGAAAGAUAAUGGGCAGAAAUCUGAUAGGUACUCCAGCUCAUCGUCAAUUGUAUCUUUAUUUAAAGAUAAUCUUGAAAAGGAUGGAAAUAUUGCAUGUACUCCUGAGAGUAAGCUAGUGAUAAAAUUGAAAUCUGGACAGCUUCUGCAUUGGAAAGACGUUGACACAAAUAAAGAAAGUUUCAAUUUUUAUCACAUUGUUCAAUUUUUGAAAAAAUCUUGGGAAAUUCAACAGAAUUGAUGAAAAAUACAAGUAAAGAUUUCAUGAAAAUUUAUUAAUUUUAUGAUUAAUAUGAAUAUAUCCUUGCAAGUUUUACAAAAUAAAAUAAAAAUUUCACUUAAAAACUGA